GACGAACGCUGGCGGCGUGCUUAACACAUGCAAGUCGAGCGGAAAGGCCCUUCGGGGUACUCGAGCGGCGAACGGGUGAGUAACACGUGAGUAACCUGCCCCAGACUUUGGGAUAACCCUCGGAAACGGGGGCUAAUACCGGAUACGACACAGCUUCGCAUGGGGUCUGUGUGGAAAGUUUUUCGGUUUGGGAUGGGCUCGCGGCCUAUCAGCUUGUUGGUGGGGUGAUGGCCUACCAAGGCGACGACGGGUAGCCGGCCUGAGAGGGCGACCGGCCACACUGGGACUGAGACACGGCCCGGACUCCUACGGGAGGCAGCAGUGGGGAAUAUUGCACAAUGGGCGGAAGCCUGAUGCAGCGACGCCGCGUGAGGGAUGACGGCCUUCGGGUUGUAAACCUCUUUCAGCAGGGACGAAGCGUAAGUGACGGUACCUGCAGAAGAAGCGCCGGCCAACUACGUG
rnacentral:rRNA from 1 species